UUAGCAUGGAAUAAUAAAAUAGGACGCGUGGUUCUAUUUUGUUGGUUUCUAGGACCGCCGUAAUGAUUAAUAGGGACAGUCGGGGGCAUCAGUAUUCAAUUGUCAGAGGUGAAAUUCUUGGAUCUAUUGAAGACUAACUACUGCGAAAGCAUUUGCCAAGGAUGUUUUCAUUGAUAAGGAACGAAAGUUAGGGGAUCGAAGACGAUCAGAUACCGUCGUAGUCUUAACUAUAAACUAUGCCGACUAGGGAUCGGACGAUGUUAUUUUUUGACUCGUUCGGCACCUUUCGAGAAAUCAAAGUGCUUGGGCUCCAGGGGGAGUAUGGUCGCAAGGCUGAAACUUAAAGAAAUUGACGGAAGGGCACCACCAGGGGUGGAACCUGCGGCUUAAUUUGACUCAACACGGGGAAACUCACCAGGUCCAGACACAGUGAGGAUUGACAGAUUGAUAGCUCUUUCUUGAUUCUGUGGGUGGUGGUGCAUGGCCGUUCUUAGUUGGUGGAGUGAUUUGUCUGCUUAAUUGCGAUAACGAACGAGACCUUAACCUGCUAAAUAGCCCUUAUUGCUUCGGCAGUAUGCUGGCUUCUUAGAGGGACUAUCGGCUCAAGCCGAUGGAAGUUUGAGGCAAUAACAGGUCUGUGAUGCCCUUAGAUGUCCUGGGCCGCACGCGCGUUACACUGACAAAGCCAGCGAGUAUUUCCUUGGCCGGAAGGCCCGGGUAAUCUUGUUAAACUUUGUCGUGCUGGGGAUAGAGCAUUGCAAU
rnacentral:rRNA from 1 species